UCGAGAAUCUUUCACAAUGGGGGAAACCCUGAUGGAGCGACGCCGCGUGGAGGAUAAGGUCUUCGGAUUGUAAACUCCUGUCAUGCAAGAACAAGGCCUCACGGCUUGAUAGUAUUGCAAGAGGAAGAGACGGCUAACUCUGUGCCAGCAGCCGCGGUAAUACAGAGGUCUCAAGCGUUGUUCGGAAUCACUGGGCGUAAAGGGUGCGUAGGCGGCGCAAAAAGUCAGAUGUGAAAUCCGGAGGCUCAACCUCCGAAUUGCAUCCGAAACUCUUGUGCUGGAGAAUUGUAGAGGAGCUUGGAACUCUCGGUGUAGCAGUGAAAUGCGUAGAUAUCGAGAAGAACGCUCGCAGCGAAAGCGAGGCUCUGGGCAAUUUCUGACGCUGAGGCACGAAGGCUAGGGGAGCAAACGG
rnacentral:rRNA from 1 species